rnacentral:tRNA from 1 species
GGGCCCGUAGCUCAGCCUGGAUAGAGCGGCAGCCCCCUAAGCUGUAGGUCCGGGGUUCGAAUCCCCGCGGGCCCGCCA